rnacentral:rRNA from 1 species
GACGGAAGGUGCAAGCGUUGCUCGGAAUCACUGGGCGUAAAGGGUGCGUAGGCGGCUGUGCAAGUCUGGCGUGAAAGCCCCGGGCUCAACCUGGGAAUGGCCGUUGAAACUGGCGAACUGGAGUGUGGCAGAGGGGGGUGGAAUUCCGCGUGUAGCAGUGAAAUGCGUAGAGAUGCGGAGGAACACCGAUGGCGAAGGCAGCCCCCUGGGCUGACACUGACGCUCAGGCACGAAAGCGUGGGGAGCAAACAGG